rnacentral:rRNA from 1 species
GAUGAACGCUGGCGGCGUGCCUAAUACAUGCAAGUCGAGCGAACGGACGAGAAGCUUGCUUCUCUGAUGUUAGCGGCGGACGGGUGAGUAACACGUGGAUAACCUACCUAUAAGACUGGGAUAACUUCGGGAAACCGUAGCUAAUACCGGAUAAUAUUUUGAACCGCAUGGUUCAAAAGUGAAAGACGGUCUUGCUGUCACUUAUAGAUGGAUCCGCGCUGCAUUAGCUAGUUGGUAAGGUAACGGCUUACCAAGGCAACGAUGCAUAGCCGACCUGAGAGGGUGAUCGGCCACACUGGAACUGAGACACGGUCCAGACUCCUACGGGAGGCAGCAGUAGGGAAUCUUCCGCAAUGGGCGAAAGCCUGACGGAGCAACGCCGCGUGAGUGAUGAAGGUCUGCGGAUCGUAAAACUCUGUUAUUAGGGAAGAACAUAUGUGUAAGUAACUGUGCACAUCUGGACGGUACCUAAGCAGAAAGCCACGGCUAACUACGG